UAUGUUGGAGAAGAACCUAUUUUAUCGGUACUGUUUCUAUGUGAUGAACAGAUAACUAACCUUCGACUUGGAAACGUGAUGAUUUGUGUCACUGCAUUCUCGUUCAUGGAGUGCCUACAAUUCAUUUUCUAAGAAUAAUAAAUUUUUGCCAAUUUUAUGAAGAAUUCUUUUUCUGAAUUACCAAUUUCAUGAAGUUAAAUAAAUACUAGAUGUAUGGUAACAACUUCCGUUUGUCGUUUUUUACUUAUGUUUCUUUCUUUCUUAUUAAUAUUUUCUAUUACGAAUUAAAAAUAUUCGAUAUAACAGAAUCUGGUUUGUACGAGCUUAACUGAAGCGAAGCCUUUUCGGUAGCUUCUUUUUAAAGAUCUAGAAUAACUAUUUAUGAGCAUAAAGAAUAGAAAUAAAUAUCGCUAACACUUUGAAGCAAAGCUUUAGACAGCAGUGAACAUCCACUGCAUCCACAGCUUAAAUUGCGCCAGAGCCUACCUGAGCUCGUCUCCGAUAAAAGGACUCCGCACCUCUUUUAUUUUCUUUACAGAUGCUACGUCCAUCUGUUACCAUUCGAUGCGACAAGUGAUGAUGUUUCAACAGCAGAAGUCAAGCUUCAUGGAUAUUAUCCGUUCCAAACAAUGAAAGGCAGCCCAGUUCAUCAACAAACAUCUACUCUCCCAGCAAUAAAACCAUUUGUACCAAUAAAUAUAUUAAAUUAUGUGAAAUGCUUCCUCCAUUUAGCUGUACCCAUAAUUACUAAGGAUUUCUUUUGCAGCUUUUUGUAGCUGUUUGCUAGCUUUAAUGCUGCUUUAAUGUUUUGUAGCUGUUUGCUAGCUUAACUUCUUUUAGUUGCCCAGUCUUUAAAUUUAUAAUAGAAGACACUUGUAUAAAAUCAAACAAAUAAUUCCGCUUUUUUUACGGCAAAUUUCCGAGAAAUAAAACUGUAAGUAAGAGCAGUGA